UACAGAGGGGGCAAGCGUUAUUCGGAAUUAUUGGGCGUAAAGGGCGCGUAGGCGGCCUGGCAAGUGGAAGGUGAAAUCCCUCGGCUUAACCGAGGAACUGCCGUCCAAACUGCUUAGCUUGAGACCGGGAGAGGUGAGUGGAAUUCCCAGUGUAGCGGUGAAAUGCGUAGAUAUUGGGAGGAACACCAGUGGCGAAGGCGGCUCACUGGACCGGUACUGACGCUGAGGCGCGAAAGCGUGGGGAGCAAACGGG
rnacentral:rRNA from 1 species